UGAGGAAUAUUGGUCAAUGGGCGCAAGCCUGAACCAGCCAUCCCGCGUGCAGGAAGACGGCCCUAUGGGUUGUAAACUGCUUUUGUACGGGAAAAAACCUCCGGUCGUGAAUCGGAGCUGAUGGUACCGUAAGAAUAAGCAUCGGCUAACUCCGUGCCAGCAGCCGCGGUAAUACGGAGGAUGCAAGCGUUAUCCGGAUUCAUUGGGUUUAAAGGGUGCGCAGGCGGAAUGAUAAGUCAGUGGUGAAAUCUCUCGGCUCAACUGAGAAACUGCCAUUGAUACUGUUGUUCUUGAGUACACUUGAAGUGGGCGGAAUGUGUCAUGUAGCGGUGAAAUGCUUAGAUAUGACACAGAACACCGAUCGCGAAGGCAGCUCACUAAAUUGUAACUGACGCUCAGGCACGAAAGCGUGGGGAUCAAACA
rnacentral:rRNA from 1 species